AGCGAACGCUGGCGGCAGGCCUAACACAUGCAAGUCGAGCGCCGUAGCAAUACGGAGCGGCAGACGGGAUAGUAACACGUGGGAACGUGCCCUUUGGUUCGGAAUAACUCAGGGAAACUUGAGCUAAUACCGGAUAAGCCCUUACGGGGAAAGAUUUAUUGCCAUUGGAGCGGCCCGCGUCGGAUUAGCUAGUUGGUGAGGUAAUGGCUCACCAAGGCGACGAUCCGUAGCUGGUCUGAGAGGAUGACCAGCAUCACCGGGACUGAGACACGGCCCAGACUCCUACGGGAGGCAGCAGUGGGGAAUAUUGGACAAUGGGCGCAAGCCUGAUCCAGCCAUGCCGCGUGGAUGAUGAAGGCCCUAGGGUUGUAAAGUCCUUUUAACGGGGAAGAUAAUGACGGUACCCGUAGAAUAAGCCCCGGCUAACUUCGUGCCAGCCGCCGCGGUAA
rnacentral:rRNA from 1 species